rnacentral:tRNA from 1 species
GUCUACUUGGCGAAAUCGGAAGACGCGUGGUACUUAAAAUACCAUACCGCAAGGUGUACUGGUUCGAUUCCAGUAGUAGACA